rnacentral:lncRNA from 8 species
AUGAACAUAGAACGCCCACCCAUGUCACACCCUGGCCUAACCAAAAACAGAGGAAAAAACCCUCUCUAUGGCCAGGGCGUUACACCCACAAUGGAUUUGAUAAAGCUGCUGGAAGGCACUCUAGACGAUCUGGACAUUAAAGAUCUGAAGAAUUUUAAGUGGCACCUAAAAAAUCUGACAGAGGCUGUGGAUGGCUUUCCUAAUAUCUCAAACAACAAGUUGCCAGGGACCGCUGACAGUCAGGACACUGUGGAUGUGAUGGUCACAAGAUAUGAAAGCCCUGAAGAAGCCCGGAAGGUCGCAGUGAUCGUUUUACGCAAAAUGAAUAAUAACAAUCUUGCCAAGAAGUUGGAGGAUAGUGCACCGCAGUUCACUGGUGCUGUUCCUGUCCAGGAUCACCAUGGCUCCAUGUCAAGGCUGCCUCCCAAGAAGAAGACCCCUGCAGAGUUGGAAAAGGAGGGUUGUUAUAGCAUGGCCAGCGAGUCCAGAGGUGUCUGUGUGAUCAUCAACAAUGUGGACUUUAGGAAUGAAAAGGAAAAGAGAGAGGGACAUUGA